AAGUCGUAACAAGGUUUCCGUAGGUGAACCUGCGGAAGGAUCAUUACAAAAAUUCUAAAAAACCCAACCUUUGUGCACUUUGUUUUGAGAAAAGUGGUCGAGGGACUUGAGAAAAGGAAAAAAGAGGGGGGUUUUGUGGGCUUGCCCCGCCCGCCUUGAUCUUGUCUCAUUUCUCUCUCUGCUUUCUCUUAAUUUUCUACACCUUUAUAAAUGAAAAAAUGUCUGUCUAAAGUUAUUAAAAAAGUUAAUUCAAAAAAACUUUUAAAAAAAAAUACAACUUUCAGCAACGGAUCUCUUGGCUCUC
rnacentral:misc_RNA from 1 species